rnacentral:rRNA from 1 species
GUCACCUACGGGAGGCAGCAGUGGGGAAUAUUGGGCAAUGGGCGCAAGCCUGACCCAGCAACGCCGCGUGAAGGAAGAAGGCCCUCGGGUUGUAAACUUCUUUUGUCAGGGACGAAGAAAGUGACGGUACCUGACGAAUAAGCCACGGCUAACUACGUGCCAGCAGCCGCGGUAAUACGUAGGUGGCAAGCGUUAUCCGGAUUUACUGGGUGUAAAGGGCGUGUAGGCGGGGUUGCAAGUCAGAUGUGAAAUUCCAGGGCUCAACCCUGUAACUGCCUUUGAAACUGUAGUUCUUGAGUGAUGGG